rnacentral:ncRNA from 2 species
GUAGAAUCAAAGGCUGUUGGUGCUCGCACCGCCCUUCAUGGCGGUGCAGUUAAACGGGAAUCAGGAAGUUAAGCCGCCACGCGGCAAGACCAACCUGAGCUGUCCCCGCAACGGUAAGUGAACGAGGCAUGCUUCGACAGAUGCCUCAAGCCCUGGACUCAAUCCACUGGCGCCGAUUCUGCAAAGAAGAGGUGCUGGGAAGGACUCAGCGGUAUGUUCACCAGCCCGGAUACCGGCCAACAAGGUGAUGGAUCG